rnacentral:lncRNA from 10 species
ACAGAAACAGACACAACCAUGUUGGCAGUCACUGCAAUGAUGAGGCAGACACAGGGGGCUGUGGAAACUCAAGAGGGGCCAUUAUAGUGGCAUCAGGGAAGGCUUCCUGGAGGAGGUGUUGCCUCCAGUGGGUUUUGACGUGCAGCAGGAAUCACCCAGCCGGAGAUCAGGGCAGGCACUGCAGGCAGCAUGCUCAAAGGCACGAAGGAGUGAGGUGGUGGGGGAGCAGCGGAAGUUCCUAGCGCAGCGUGGGGGUGCUCUGUGCACAGAUAAGUUGCGGGCCGCGGGAAACAGGACCCUGGGGGGCCCCCUAGAGCCUCGCGGAGCGGCUUGCAGAGGAGCCUCGGGGCCACGGCGUGUGUGCAGCGACACCUGGCGGUGGCAUGCGGAACUGCGGACGGCUGCGCAGGAGCGGACAGCGGAGAGGCGGUACUGACCGGUGCGAGGCGGUGCUGACCGGUGCGGGCCGGUGCGGGCCAGUGCAGGCCAGGCCCGGCCGGGGCGAGGCAGGUGGCCAGGUCCGAGGACCGCGUCGCACAGCAGCUUUCAGGACCUGGAGAGAAAUCGAGACACAGAAACUGAGGCCCAGAAGAGCUGAAUAUUUGGCCCAGGCCACACAGGGAGUCCAGCCACGGGUGAUGAGGGGCUGAGGAUCGGGGAGGGACAGGAAACCUGGCCUUUCUGAGCCUUGCUGUCCUUAUCUGCUGCGUCAGGAGGUCUCUCCUCAGAUGUCACCUCGUCAGAGUGGCCUGUGCUGACUGCCAUAUCUACAAUACCCUUCCCAACGCCUGGCAUCCGCCUCCUCACUCUUGUAUGAGUGUCUUCAAGACCCUGAUUCCUAGCCCUGGAGGCCAUCCAGAGCAUCUCAUCCAGGGAGCCGAGAGGUCCUUCCACCACCCCGCUGGGGUCCAGCGCAGCUGGGCCAGGAGAAGGGUGGUACAUCACUCCUGCGAGUCGAAGGCGAGACAGUGUGUGAAUGGGGCCUGGACUGCCCAAUUCCCUCUACCAAAGCAACUAGAACCUUCUUCUGCAUUAGGUGAUGGGUACCUGCGUGAGCUGUCAUUUGAAGACAGGGUUCCAGAGCACAAACAAAUUGGAGCCCCUGGUCCUCUCAGCUGGCAUCUGUGGAUUUGGCCUGCCUGGCGGGCCAGGCCAAUCAGAGAAGAGAAUGCCCUAUUGGGCACAGUGAUUGGGGCUCUGGCAUGGUCACAUGACAUGAGACAAGCCAAUAAGCAUGGAUCCUGAGAUUCUGCUUGGCGUCUCCUGGGCUGUACUUCCUGCUUUGUGCUGGGAUUGGGGCCAUGCGGCUGUAAGUCCAGAGCUACUGCAGGCCUCUUGCCACUGUGGGGAACCCAGCCUAGGAUGAAGCACAGGAAUGGAAACAGCUGAAAGAAGCAAGACACAGGGUCCUGACCACAUCUGUUGGAGCCUGGAUCCAACCUUGCCUGGAUCUGCAACCACUACUGAGCUUUUCAUGUACUUGGUGCCAAUAUAUUCCAUGUCUCCAUUUUUAAAAGUAAAUUUGAGUUGGAUGUCCU